UACGGAGGGUGCAAGCGUUAUCCGGAUUUAUUGGGUUUAAAGGGUCCGUGGGUGGACCGUUGAGUCAGUGGUGAAAGCCCUCUGCUCAACAGAGGAAUUGCCAUUGAUACUGGCGGUCUUGAGUAUAUGUGAAGUUGGCGGAAUGUGUGGUGUAGCGGAGAAAUGCUUAGAUAUCACACAGAACACCGAUUGCGAAGACAGCUGGCUAACAUAUAACUGACACUGAGGGACGAAAGUGUGGGGAUCAAACAGG
rnacentral:rRNA from 1 species